rnacentral:lncRNA from 1 species
GUUUUCGAUCUUAAGAUGUUCAAAUCAACGAUCCACACCGUCAAAUAUGAUUUAGAGUAUAUAAAAUUCUUAGGGAUAAAAUUUUAAUUCAUUUCAACAUCGUUUACUUAGUAAAUAAAUCAUGUCAAAAUGAACGGUGAAAAUUGAACAAUCUUUAAAAUUUGAGGAUAGAACUUCUAAAUUCAUGAUCAAGGAUGUUGACCUUAAUCUAAAUAGUUUAAAGUAUUUUCUAUCAAAAUUUGAAUAAAUUUAGAUUCUUUCGCAUCGUAAGAUUUUUAUUUUCAGCCGUUGAUUUUGAGCCACUUCGAUCACUAGGCAAAUGAUAUCGAAAAAUCGCAAAAUUUAUUUUCUAGAUACUUCAAAUACUCUAGAUCAAGUCUAACGGAGCCGAUCGUCGAUUCGAAAGUCCGAACAUCAAAAACAAAGUGGAAGCACGGAGCCCUCUGUGCUUCCAUAAGCAUCCUAACCGCACUCUAUAUAUAUAUAUAUAUAUAGAGAGAGAGAGAGAGAGAGAGAGAGAAUGAGGCUACUAUACUAACUAUAAUAUUGGAGCUCCGAUACUAUAGUCUAGUUUUCGAUCUUAAGAUGUUCAAAUCAACGAUCCACACCGUCAAAUAUGAUUUAGAGUAUAUAAAAUUCUUAGGGAUAAAAUUUUAAUUCAUUUCAACAUCGUUUACUUAGUAAAUAAAUCAUGUCAAAAUGAACGGUGAAAAUUGAACAAUCUUUAAAAUUUGAGGAUAGAACUUCUAAAUUCAUGAUCAAGGAUGUUGACCUUAAUCUAAAUAGUUUAAAGUAUUUUCUAUCAAAAUUUGAAUAAAUUUAGAUUCUUUCGCAUCGUUAAACUACAAAUUCGUCAUAGUAGCUAUUGAAAAUUAAUAAUUUUGAAAUAAUUUGAUCAUAAAGAAAACUAUGUCGAAAAAAUAUAAUUUUAUUACUUACAAUUUUAAAUAUUCUAGAUCAGUUUUAACGAUGUGAAUUGUUGAUUUGAACACCAUAAAAUAAAAAACGAGACCAUAGUACCGA